CACACAUUUGUAGCACGUUCUUCUUAGUACACAGUAGUGUACUAAGGCUCCCCUCUGCUGUCUCUUCCAUUUGCUCUUCUGCUUUCCUUCCUGAAUGCUGCUUCUUUUUAUGGAAGGGUACAUUGGGCAGCAGGAUCAAAGGAAGUGGAGUCCAUAAAAGGAGAUCUGUUUUCUACAGGCAGCAGGCCAAUGUGUGGACUAAUCCAUCAUACCUGGAGGUUGUCAAGAUCAAACGUCAAGUGUCUUCUUUGUCAGUAUUUGAAAGCAGUGAUGUUUUAUACCAAGGUGAAUCAUUAUUCUCUACAACAGAUUAAGUAACACAAUUAAGGACAAUGGCAGAUGAAAAACAAGAUUUGUAAGUUUUGGAAGUGGUCAAAAGUGAAUCAUCAGGUUAAUCCGGCUUGGAUAAUGAUAACUUUGAUGCUGGUGGUGCAAGCCAAAGUUCCUGUGACAGAGAAAUGGCACAAGAAAUGUAUUCUGGAACUUACCUACCAGGUGUACAUUGUACAAUAUAGUAGGAAGCUCCUGACAAAACAGGAAGACAAGAUAUGUGACAAGACCAUCCUGCCGUAUAGGAAAGGAAAGCUAAGCACAUGUGCUGUCAGUGUAAGCGAUGUGUGUGUACGGAACAUGCUGUUGUCAUGUGUGAAGAUUGCCUGGG